UGGUUCAGAUUCUGCAGAUCAAUAAUGUGUCUGAUCAUCCCAGGUUGGAUCUCCCGAGCCUGUAAACCUCCACCUUCAACACCAUCAGUUAGGUGGAGGAAGAUAAGAGAACCCAGUUGACAAAAAAAGUAAGAAUAUUUAUAUCUUUCUACAUAACUAAACAUUUCAGAUAUUGCUGCAGAGAGUUGAGCUUUAAAAACGGUUUCUAUCUGCUCUCUUUGUAAAAUAAUUUUUAACUUUGUUGUAUUUUCUGUUUAUUUCAUUUCUACAUCAACUCAUGUCACAUGACUUGAGUUGACCAGCAAUUAAAGCAGAAGACCUGCUCCACCUGCUAAUCUACUGGUUGUAAAAGAUUGUGGGAACGCAUUACUGAGAUAAGACAACAGGAUUGGACCAAUCAGGAGAGAGGACUGAGGAGACACAGGAAAUCCUGCCGAAAAUCCCGAGAUCCCAGGUUGGGUCUCCUCGUAUUAGCAUCUGACCGGGGAGACCCCAACCAUCUUCAUAACCUAACAGACCUAACAGUCUGUUAGAGAUUGGCUUUAUUUACUUUGGUGACUGUUUAUAGUUUUUAAAUAAAACACUGAACAUUUUU